rnacentral:rRNA from 1 species
ACGCACGCUGGCGGCGUGCUUAACCCCUGCCAGUCGAACGGAAAGGCCCUGCUUUUGUGGGGUGCUCGAGUGGCGAACGGGUGAGUAACACGUGAGUAACCUGCCCUUGACUUUGGGAUAACUUCAGGAAACUGGGGCUAAUACCGGAUAGGAGCUCCUGCUGCAUGGUGGGGGUUGGAAAGUUUCGGCGGUUGGGGAUGGACUCGCGGCUUAUCAGCUUGUUGGUGGGGUAGUGGCUUACCAAGGCUUUGACGGGUAGCCGGCCUGAGAGGGUGACCGGCCACAUUGGGACUGAGAUACGGCCCAGACUCCUACGGGAGGCAGCAGUGGGGAAUAUUGAACAAUGGGCGGAAGCCUGAUGCAGCAACGCCGCGUGCGGGAUGACGGCCUUCGGGUUGUAAACCGCUUUCGCCUGUGACGAAGCGUGAGUGACGGUAAUGGGUAAAGAAGCACCGGCUAACUACGUG